rnacentral:rRNA from 1 species
UACACACCGCCCGUCACACCAUAGGAGUGGGUUCCACCAGAAGUAGGUAGCCUAACCGCAAGGAGGGCGCUUACCACGGUGAGAUUCAUGACUGGGGUG